UUUAAAAUUACGAAAGUAGGCCUCUGAUAGGUUAGGUUAAAUAACCAGGAUUCAACAAUUGCAACUCACCUUUUGAGACUAUUGGUCAAGUGGUCUUUCCUUAGAGUCACAAAGGGGUGCCCUAUGGAAUAAAGCCACGCAUCUCUUGCUGCUUGGUCUAGAGGACCCUAAGACGAGAUGAAGACUUUGAUAUUUUUUGCUCUCAUCUUUACCUUAACAGCUUCCUUCCGGACUGCUGAUGCCCUUAAUCAGAGGAGAAGAAAAUUCGAUUUCAGUUCUGAAGAGAAUUUUAAACCACUUACACAAAGAAGUCUUGGGAAUCGAAGACAUGUAUUCCUUCAACAAAACCAUAAAGCAUCACCAAAAUUUAGACCAAAUUUUCUAACUUCUGGAAUUCCCCCCCAUUUCUUUGAUUUUUUUGGUUUCCAUAGACCCCACCGCCCUCCACGCCCAAAUGGCCCUCACCAUCCCCAUCCUCCACACCACCCACCAUGCCCAACUACAGCAGCUCCUGAAGAUGUAAAAACUACUCCAUUAGCUACUUCUGCAGCUGCAGCUGCUACCACUGCAGCUAUACCUGACACUACACCUGUUACUGACACUACUCCGGCUGCUGUGGAUGACACUACCCCAGCUGCUGCUGCUGACACUACCCCAGCUGCUGCUGCUGACACUACCCCUGCUGCUGCUGCUGACACUACCCCAGCUGCUGCUGCUGACACUACCCCGGCUGCUGCUGCUGACACUACCCCGGCUGCUGCUGCUGACACUACCCCUGACAAUCUGCAACAAAAGCAAUAGAAAAUUCUACAACUGUCUGAGAUCACAAAUAUAUCUCAAGAAGACAAAAGCUAAUCAAGGGGCCACCAUAAGGAUGAAACUAUUGUGUUUGAUCUUGGGACUUUGAGCUCUUACAGAAUGUCACUAGGAAUCCAAACAGCAGUAUUUAAAAAGGGAGGUUUUUCUGGUGAAAGUUCUCUUUCUUCUUGAAUUUUCAAACUGUGGCUACCUAAACUGAGUAUUUGGCAAGAGUAAGGUUAAUCAACGGUUUGAUUGUUUCAGAGAAGAUUCUCCUACUAAGGAACAGUAAAGGAUGAAAAGCUUACCUUCCAUCCUGGGCCUGCUGGCUCUUAUUUCAUGUUUCAUGCCCAGUGAGAGUCACAGAGUACACAGUGGACCAUAUCAAUCCAGCAAGCUGCCAUCAUCUUUUAUGUACUACAGGCCAAGAAGGAUUUCAGCAGGCUCCCCUCCUUUCAAUCACCCAGGAUAUAGGCGCUUUGGCUCAAUGUUCUUUCCUCCUCAAC